rnacentral:rRNA from 1 species
CCUACGGGAGGCAGCAGUGAGGAAUAUUGGUCAAUGGACGAGAGUCUGAACCAGCCAAGUAGCGUGAAGGAUGACUGCCCUAUGGGUUGUAAACUUCUUUUAUAUGGGAAUAAAACGUUCCACGUGUGGGAUUUUGUAUGUACCAUAUGAAUAAGGAUCGGCUAACUCCGUGCCAGCAGCCGCGGUAAUACGGAGGAUGCGAGCGUUAUCCGGAUUUAUUGGGUUUAAAGGGAGCGUAGGUGGAUUGUUAAGUCAGUUGUGAAAGUUUGCGGCUCAACCGUAAAAUUGCAGUUGAAACUGGCAGUCUUGAGUACAGUAGAGGUGGGCGGAAUGCGUGGUGUAGCGGUGAAAUGCGUAGAUAUCACGAAGAACUCCGAUUGCGAAGGCAGUUCACUGGACUGCAACUGACACUGAGGCUCGAAAGUGUGGGUAUCAAACAGGAUUAGAUACCCGGGUAGUC